ACGGAGGGUGCAAGCGUUAAUCGGAAUUACUGGGCGUAAAGCGCAAGCAGGCGGUUUGUUAAGUCAGAUGUGAAAGCCCCGGGCUUAACCUGGGAACUGCAUCUGAUACUGGCAAGCUUGAGUCUCGUAGAGGAGGGUAGAAUUCCAGGUGUAGCGGUGAAAUGCGUAGAGAUCAGGAGGAAUACCGGUGGCGAAGGCGACUCCCUGUCCGAAGACUGACGCUCAGGUGCGAGAGCGUGGGUAGCAAACAG
rnacentral:rRNA from 1 species